rnacentral:rRNA from 1 species
UAGCAUAUCAAUAAGCGGAGGAAAAGAAACCAACAGGGAUUGCCCCAGUAACGGCGAGUGAAGCGGCAACAGCUCAAAUUUGAAAUCUGGUCCCUAGGGCCCGAGUUGUAAUUUGUAGAGGAUGCUUUUGGUGAGGUGCCGCCCGAGUUCCCUGGAACGGGACGCCACAGAGGGUGAGAGCCCCGUCUGGCUGGCCGCCGAGCCUCUGUAAAGCUCCUUCGACGAGUCGAGUAGUUUGGGAAUGCUGCUCAAAAUGGGAGGUAUAUGUCUUCUAAAGCUAAAUAUUGGCCAGAGACCGAUAGCGCACAAGUAGAGUGAUCGAAAGAUGAAAAGCACCUUGAAAAGAGGGUUAAAUAGUACGUGAAAUUGUUGAAAGGGAAGCGCUUGUGACCAGACUUGGGCGCGGCGGAUCAUCCGGGGUUCUCUCCGGUGCACUUCGCCGCGUCUAGGCCAGCAUCAGUUCGUCGCGGGGGAAAAAGGCUUCGGGAACGUGGCUCCUCCGGGAGUGUUAUAGCCCGUUGCAUAAUACCCUGCGGUGGACUGAGGACCGCGCAUCUGCAAGGAUGCUGGCGUAAUGGUCACCAGCGACCCG